UGUGCAUCUAGUCUCCUUUUGAAGAUCUCCAAGGUGUAAAAGGCUGUGUGAGGGCAAGACAGGCAGAAUAAUCAAGGUUGUGGACCUGGAGAAAUGGAACUAGAGAGCAACAAAACAAGGAGGUUAUCCCAGACCAAGCUGAGGGGUCACUUACAAAAAUAACAGCUGGUUGUAGUGUCCAGCUCAUGAUGCAACUAUGACAUCUGUUCUAUGUGACAAAUGACUAACCUGAACUGCUGGUAGAGAUUCCUUCAAAACAGACCUGUGAUGUUAGAUUAAAAUGGAUAUUUUUA